GCCAGCACCCAUAUCACUCUGCAACUCACAACUGGCAACCCACUGAGCUAAACAGGUGUGAGCCUGGUCAGUACCUGGAUGGGAGACCUCCUGGGAAAAUCUAAGGUUGCUGCUGGAA
rnacentral:rRNA from 1 species